rnacentral:lncRNA from 1 species
UAUCUGGCAACAGUGUCCAGUCGUAGACGUUCAGUAGCAGGGCUACAACCUGCUGCUUGUGUUCCGGCACCUGCGCCUUCCUGGCUCAUUAAUCAACACUAACAACAACUGCACUUAUUAUAAAGUAGAGUAUAGAGCAUACUAUUAUCCGUAUGACAAUAAGAUUGAUGCAGGUCACUUGAAGUCAUAGAGGACGUCGUUGAGGUCAGCCGGGAUUCCUCAGCCAGCGGCAGUGUUUUCUCUCCAGGAGACGCCUCACCUCACAGGAUAACCCCGCAGUCAUCUGCAGAUGAUAACCUUCACACCCCAAGUAUAAGAUAACACCCAGGCAUAAUUUUUCUACCCAGCGGCAGUGUUGUGUCUCCAGUUUGCCUAGUUCAUUUAUUAUGCACCCCUUACCCAUCGUAUUAGCAUAGUGUAUGGGGGUUACAGAAGCACGCAAUAGGCUCAGGGACUGGACCUCGAAAUUCAUUUAACUAAGCAAGUUACAGUCUUGAUAAACUAGUUAAAAAAGUUAAUGUAAUUGUUACAUCAACAGUGAGUUGGAGACCUACAACAAGUAUUGUACAUUCUCUUAACCUAAGCAACUGACAUAUGUGGAGAGCCAGUGUCAUAUCCUGCACAAUACUCCACAUGCAGUAGGCACCAGAGGAAAGGUUAGUCACCCACAUAUAGUACCUACAGUUAGCAAACUGGGGAGAUUUUACUAAGAUUUAUGGUAGUACUGUAGAUCAUCGUGAAUUAAAUAAUUGCAUAUAUCUUGAACAUUUGUUAUAAAGUUGUCUAAAUUCACAAAACUUUUCACACUCCAUUACAUAGCGACGGAGGGUGUGCAAAUAAUUUUGCUGACAGUUUACGUUGGUCAGGUCUAUAUCAGCAGAUACUGUAAUGUAAAAUUCCCAGUCCAGUAGACGCCCUCUCUAAAAUUUCUGCAGUCAUCGGCAGGAGGUAGCUUCCAUCCUAACUGCUGGGAUCAUAAAGAUGAAGCAGUACAAGUGUCCAGAAUGUGGAAGAACAUUCAGUCAACCAGAAAAUAUGAAUCCUCUCAGGAUGGUGCACAGGGAUAUUAUACCUCACGAGUGCCCAGAGUGUGGGAAAACAUUCAGCUAUCCUGUAGAAAUGAAGGUUCGCAGGGUUGUACCGUGGGAUGGUAAAUAUCAUGACUGCCCAGAGUGUGGGAAAACAUUCAAUUAUCUUAGACGUAUGAAGGCUCACAGGAGUGUGCACAGGGGUAUUAAACCUCAUGAGUGUCCAGAGUGUGGGAAAAUGUUCAGUCGUCUAGGAAAUAUGAAGCUUCACAGGAUGGUACAUGUGGUAAUUAAACCUCACGAGUGUCCAGAAUGUGGGAAAACAUUCAGUCGACUUUUAGAUAUGAACACUCACAGGACAGUGCAUACUGGUGUUAAACCUUUUGAGUGUGCCAAGUGUGGGAGAAAAUUUAGACUACGUCGUGGUAUGAUAAGUCACAUGUUGGUGCAUUCGGAUGAUAAACCUUUUGAAUGUUCAGAGUGUGGAAAAACAUAUAAUCAUCUUCAAAGUAUGAAGGCUCACAUGAAGGUGCAUAUGGGAAUUAAACCUCACGAGUGUCCAGAGUGUGGGAAAACAUUCAGUCAACUUUCAGAUAUGACGACUCACAGGACAGUGCAUACAGGCAUUAAACCUUUUGAGUGUGCCGAGUGUGGUAGAAAAUUCAGACUACGUCGGGGUAUAAUAAGUCACAUGCUGGUACAUUCAGAUGAAAAACCUCAUGAAUGUUCACAGUGUGGGAAAAGAUUUAAGUGGAGUAAUAAUAUGAAAACUCAUAUGUUAGUAGUGCAUAUGGAUAAUGAAUGUAAUUAAUAGUUCAAGUGCGGGGAACAAUUGGUUAACAUGGAGGUAUGAAGAAGAUUAGAAAGAUACUGUACACAGAAGUGAUUAACAUCAUAAGUGUCCAAAGCUAAUUAGUUUACUGAAUAGUAGAAGGAGGCACAAGUUAGUGCAUUCGGGUGAUAAACCUCACUAGUGCCCUGGCCGAAGGAAAAAGUCCUAGACCUAGUAAGCAAAUUAUUUGAAAAAGGACAAAAUUGUCCAUACGAGUGAAAACUCUUUGAGUUAUUUAGUUUAGCAAUAUUGAACUGUAUUGUAUGAUAUACAUAUUAAGACAAACUAUGUUGCCUACUAAGCCAUUGGUAAUAUUUGGAAAUUGUGAAAUUCAUCUUGAAAUUACUGUGUUAGUGCCUUGUCAGCUGCACUUCCAACCAAGAUACUGUAUGAGUAUAUUGUCAUGGUGAGGGGGUUCUGUAUGUCGUCCUUGGGCUGGUGUGGGUAGCUUCAGCCCUACUCCUGCCUGAUAUAGCAAAGUAUUAGAAGAGAUUAGAAGAGGAUACCUACUGAAUUUAGGACCCAGUAGUCUUUGGAUUACAUGCUGGAGGAUUUCUUCAGCAGGAGGUCAACCUGAGAGGAAGGUUUAUUUUGUUUAUGGAUGGAGUGUGAGGGAAAAGGGAGUCGGCAGCAGCGAGAGGAAAUAUCUUGUACAACAAAGAUUUCAUUGCUGUAAAGGGGGAAGACUCUUUAGGACAAUGCCUCCAUUCUUAAGCCAGAGCUCUGCCUUCCUCACUCAACUGGGAGGACAGCCAGGUGCGCCUUCCCAAUUGUGCAAGAGAAACUCACUGCAGGAAGAGCAACAGUGAUGUAUCUGAGACUUCAAAAAUCAGAGCAACAGUCUGCAAAAAAAAAAAAAAAAGAGAAGUGGGAAACACUGUAGAUGCAAUAAGAGUCAUCACCAGAAGACAGAAUUGCUGAGAGAGAUGCCAAUACAGCUCAAGCCCUAAGGGACAAACACCAUUGACCUGACCAAACACGUGGUUUACAAUAACACUGGUCUUGUAAACCAAAGGUUGUGAGUUUGAUUCUUACAGGGGGGGGGGGGGGAAGCUUAUUUAGUGCCGAAUCAACCGGGCUGUAGUGGAUAUGAGGGCCCAUGGGAUGCUCUAAGCAAUAGCCUGUUGGACCAAGAUCUCACAAGUCAAGCCUGGCCCUGGGCCGGGCUUGUGGAGAAGAACAACUCCCAGAACCCCAUCAAGGUAUGACCCACCCAGGGUCAUUCUACAUGAGAAUGACAUUCCACCAGAUGGGGUUACUGGAACAAAACCUCUCUCAGUGGAUGAAUCUGUGGUUCAUAAAGCAGCCUUGUCCUUCUCACCAGAAUCUGCAGGUGGGUUCACAGCACUAAAACCCAACCAUAUUAUACAAAUGCUCAACCCUUCACUGGGUGACAUUCAACCCAUCCUCCGAAUUGACAGUACGUUUUAAUACUAAGUGUAAUAAGAACAUUUCCUGACUGUCAUACAUAGUACAUAGUUGCACUUAUGGGGCUGUUACAUUUAUCUCCCCAUUUAUUCUCCUUGUUUUCUGUUAAGACACUCAGAAUUUUAGGAUGAAGUUUUAAAGUUCAGUUCGCCAUACACAAGUUUAAAAUAUCAGAAAUUUCUUUUUUAGUUUUAUUAAACAAUAGAGAUUUUAUAAAAAAAUUGAAAAUAUCCUGAGUUACUUUACAGUUUAUUUAAAUAUUUUAGUUUUGUUUUAUUUGUUUUAUAAAAUGUAAUAUUAAUAUA